GAUGAACGCUGGCGGCGUGCCUAAUACAUGCAAGUCGAGCGAACAGAUGAGGAGCUUGCUCCUCUGACGUUAGCGGCGGACGGGUGUGUAACACGUGGAUAACCUACCUAUAUUACUGGGAUAACUUCGGGAAACCGGAGCUAAUACCGGAUAAUAUAUUGAACCGCAUGGUUCAAUAGUGAUAGUCGGUUUUUCUGUCACUUAUAGAUGGUUCCGCGCCGCAUUAGCUAGUUGGUAAGGUAAAGGCUUACCAAGGCAACGAUGCGUAGCCGACCUGAGAGGGGGAUAGGCGACACUGGAAGUGAGACACGGACAAGACUACUACGGGAGGCAGCAGUAGGGAAUGUGACGCAAUGGGCGAAAGCAUGACGGAGCAACGCCGCGUGAGUGAUGAAGGUCUUCGGAUCGUAAAACUCUGUUAUUAGGGAAGAAAAAAUGUGGAAGUAAAUAAGGACGUAGUGACGGUAACUAAUAAGAAAGCAACGGCUAACUACGUG
rnacentral:rRNA from 1 species